AACGAACGCUGGCGGCAGGCUUAACACAUGCAAGUCGAACGGAUCCUUCGGGAUUAGUGGCAGACGGGUGAGUAACGCGUGGGAACGUACCCUUUGCUACGGAAUAACUCAGGGAAACUUGAGCUAAUACCGUAUGUGCCCUACGGGGGAAAGAUUUAUCGGCAAAGGAUCGGCCCGCGUUGGAUUAGCUAGUUGGUGGGGUAAUGGCCUACCAAGGCGACGAUCCAUAGCUGGUCUGAGAGGAUGAUCAGCCACACUGGGACUGAGACACGGCCCAGACUCCUACGGGAGGCAGCAGUGGGGAAUAUUGGACAAUGGGCGCAAGCCUGAUGCAGCCAUGCCGCGUGAGUGAUGAAGGUCUUAGGAUUGUAAAGCUCUUUCACCGGUGAAGAUAAUGACGGUAGCCGGAGAAGAAGCCCCGGCUAACUUCGUG
rnacentral:rRNA from 1 species